rnacentral:rRNA from 1 species
AUUGAACGCUGGCGGCAGGCCUAACACAUGCAAGUCGAGCGGAUGAAGGGAGCUUGCUCCUGGAUUCAGCGGCGGACGGGUGAGUAAUGCCUAGGAAUCUGCCUGGUAGUGGGGGAUAACGUCCGGAAACGGGCGCUAAUACCGCAUACGUCCUGAGGGAGAAAGUGGGGGAUCUUCGGACCUCACGCUAUCAGAUGAGCCUAGGUCGGAUUAGCUAGUUGGUGGGGUAAAGGCCUACCAAGGCGACGAUCCGUAACUGGUCUGAGAGGAUGAUCAGUCACACUGGAAAUGAGAAACGGUCCAGACUCCUAAGGGAGGCAGCAGUGGGGAAUAUUGGACAAUGGGCGAAAGCCUGAUCCAGCCAUGCCGCGUGUGUGAAGAAGGUCUUCGGAUUGUAAAGCACUUUAAGUUGGGAGGAAGGGCAGUAAGUUAAUACCUUGCUGUUUUGACGUUACCAACAGAAUAAGCACCGGCUAACUUCGUG